CAGCCGCGGUAAUACGGAGGGUGCGAGCGUAAUCGGAAUUACUGGGCGUAAAGCGCACGCAGGCGGUUUGUUAAGCUAGAUGUGAAAGCCCCGGGCUCAACCUGGGAUGGUCAUUUAGAACUGGCAGACUAGAGUCUUGGAGAGGGGAGUGGAAUUCCAGGUGUAGCGGUGAAAUGCGUAGAUAUCUGGAGGAACAUCAGUGGCGAAGGCGACUCCCUGGCCAAAGACUGACGCUCAUGUGCGAAAGUGUGGGUAGCGAACAGGAUUAGAUACCCUGGUAGUCCACACCGUAAACGCUGUCUACUAGCUGUGUGUGCCUUUAAGGCGUGCGUAGCGAAGCUAACGCGAUAAGUAGACCGCCUGGGGAGUACGGCCGCAAGGUUAAAACUCAAAUGAAUUGACGGGGGCCCGCACAAGCGGUGGAGCAUGUGGUUUAAUUCGAUGCAACGCGAAGAACCUUACCUACACUUGACAUGCAGAGAACUUUCUAGAGAUAGAUUGGUGCCUUCGGGAACUCUGACACAGGUGUGCAUGGCUGUCGUCAGCUCGUGUC
rnacentral:rRNA from 1 species